UACCUGGUUGAUCCUGCCAGUAGUCAUAUGCUUGUCUCAAAGAUAAGCCAUGCAGGUGGAGGU
rnacentral:rRNA from 1 species